rnacentral:sRNA from 1 species
UAGUAGCCCCGAUAGUAGUGGAAAUCCUUUUGCUCGUCAGUUCGAGUUCCUCGCUUUUUUUGCGAGGAGUAUCGAGAACAAGAGCAAAAGAUUGCAGCGAAUAGCGGGAAAAAUG